GGCCCGUGAUGACUGGUAAAAGGUCUGAACACCCAGCUGCCCCUGCACCCUGCCUGUCCACAGCUGCCUCUCUCCCAUCAGGCUCUAGCCGUGCCCUGAUGGGCAUAGGGUAGCUGACAUCCAGUGGUGCCCCGUCCUGUGUCCCUGGCAAGCUCAGGGAGACACCAUGGUUGGUGCCCAACAGUGCGGCGACAGAGGAAUCUGGACCCUGGGGGUGCAGGCUCUGUGGUGGUGAUCUGACGUUUCCAAGCUGAGGCC
rnacentral:snoRNA from 1 species